rnacentral:rRNA from 1 species
AUUGAACGCUGGCGGCAUGCCUUACACAUGCAAGUCGAACGGUAACAGGUCUUCGGAUGCUGACGAGUGGCGAACGGGUGAGUAAUACAUCGGAACGUGCCUAGUAGUGGGGGAUAACUACUCGAAAGAGUGGCUAAUACCGCAUGAGAUCUACGGAUGAAAGCAGGGGAUCGCAAGACCUUGUGCUACUAGAGCGGCCGAUGGCAGAUUAGGUAGUUGGUGGGAUAAAAGCUUACCAAGCCGACGAUCUGUAGCUGGUCUUAGAGGACGGUCAGCCACACUGGGACUGAGCCACGGCCCAGACUCCUACGGGAGGCAGCAGUGGGGAACUUUGGACAAUGGGCGAAAGCCUGAUCCAGCAAUGCCGCGUGCAGGAUGAAGGCCUUCGGGUUGUAAACUGCUUUUGUACGGAACGAAAAGCCCCGGGUUAAUACCCUGGGGUCAUGACGGUACCGUAAGAAUAAGCACCGGCUAACUACGUGCCAGCAGCCGCAGUAA